CUUGACUGUCAUUUUGGGGACCUGGAAGCACUGGAAUUUAGUCAGCUGCAGGCAGUUUGUGGCCUGAAAGAUGCCCCGAUGUGGGAGAAGGAGGAGGAUUGUGGGGGCUGAGGUCCCCUCUCUUGGGUCUCGCUCCCACCUGCCGUGCUGCCUGUGUGAGACUGGUUGUCCCUUGGGCACAGGGACCACCCGCUAUCUCCCCUCAGGAGCCAUUGGCUCCAGCGCCUUCCUCAUCCUGUGCCUGGGGUCCCCUCAGCGACACCGUGGCAACAACAUUCUGAGGGGGUCAGGGGUCCUCAGUGACACCCCUUCGACGCAGCAUCCCGUGCUGGACAGUGGAUGAGAGGGGGCGAAGCAUCCGGACAUGCCACUGGAGAAGGGAAAGAAGGAAAGGGAGGCCCCAUGCUGUUGUCAGGCCUGCUGCUUGAGUGGAGAAGAUUUCAAUCACAUCUUUAACUGUUUUCAGAAGGAUGACUGUGGAUCCCAAGAAGGUUUGCUGACAGGUGAUUUCUCUGACACCUUGGAAGACAAGAAAGGACAUUCCCAGCAUGUUCUGCACACCUCCACCUGGGUGCACAAGCUCAAUCCAGACAAAGUUCAUUUAUUCUGAUGGAUGGAGUAUCCACAAAGACUGGGUUUGUAACGAGGCCAGAAAUGUGUGGUGUGACAAUCAGCUGUCCUCCUCCUGGAAGUUUCUCAGUGAGCUGUGCAUGCAUGAACACACAUUUCUUUUUUUCCUCCCACACACAAAAGCUCUGUGUCAAGUUGUUUGAGUGAGUUGUGACACGUAUUAAUGUUGUUGGCUUCUAAUGUUGUUGGGUUCUUUCCACUGGGGGCUGACUACUGCAAUCCCAUUGGAAAAGUUUUCCACCAAACUCAGAAAUAACUUUCAUUAAAACUCUAUCCAGACACCCUCAAGCAUGAGUGUUUUUCUACUCAUGAAUGUAAGCAGCAAAGAAAAGCAGUAAAUCGCUUUGAAUAAUGUGCCAGUGCUCUACUGUUAUGUAACUGUCAUUCCUAAGUAAAAGAUGCCUAUUUACCAAUUAAAAAAUAAUGGCAAGGAUUUAAGGGAUUUUUAAUUAAUUCUGCUGCUUCCAGAAUAUCUAUUAGAUAAAAUCUGUUGAAUUUGGAUCAUUGACCCUUUACUUGAAAACUGUUUUUACAAAUGUUCUCCAGCAAAUACAUUGAGUACUUAACUUCCCCUAUGAAAACCACAAAAAACUGUAUACCAAAAUACAAGGAUUAAGGGCCAGAGCCAUGACAGAUCCAGACUUGGACGGGGAUAUGAAAACACCUCAUUGAAUGUACUUGAUAGGAUAAUUUCUUUUCACCAAUAUACACUGUUUGACUACAAAUAAAUACAGGACAUAAGGAAUUGUUCAAUAUUUUUAUAAUAGUAGAAUAUUUCCAUUGCCUUGAAAUGCUUAAAGAACUGUGAAGUUGUGUUACUGAUGAACAUAGGGUUACUACAAGAAGCUUCACGCAAUUAACUUAUACAACAAAGGAAACACCAGCUUUUGUCAGGGAGGACUUGGAUCUUCCAUAGAGCUGCAGGAAUUUGGGCAGUUGGGAGAAGACCCUGUAGCCUCUUUCUUAGCAGCCUUCCAAUGAGAUCACCGUGGAAGUCUCUUGUGUAAGACCCCUGCAGGUAGUGCUGGUCUGUUUGUUUUAAACUCUUUGAUACAGGAUAAUUCAAGUGGGUAGUCAAUAUGAAGUUUUAUCAUCCUCUGUCCUUGGAUGUCUCAUUAAGCAUGACUUGCUGUCAUUGGGAUUUUAAAUGCCAGAAGGCUUCUCAAUUACCUCAAUUAUCUUUGCCCAAGGAAUGAUUGCUAUUUCCAGGCACGCAUCCUGUUGCCCGCAGUUUCUCACUCAGGUUUUUCUGGCAUCAUUCUUACAUUAAUAGCCCUUACCACAGCAUACAUCAGACUAACAACUGUCCCACGGUACCUCCUGAGCACACUGCAGCACUGACACAGUUCCUGCAUGUGUUCUCUAACUCUCCUGCUUCCACCCUAUUCUAGGAACUAUUGGAAGCUUCAUUUUAUUUAAAACCCUCAAAUUAUAGAAAUCGUGCAUAUCACAUGGAACACAUUCUAUCCAAAAAACAUUUAUUGAAAUUUCUUCUCUGAUUAAAUAGACCAUCUGUAAAAGGGAGUUAUAUGGGGAAAAAAAAGUAGAUUAAAAAGUUAUCACAAAGUAUUUACAGAAAAACAAGGAGUGAAAUGUGUCAAAUUGUUUCUGUUCAGUUCCCUGUUCUAGUAGCUUAUCUGGACAUAACUUAUUUGAUAAAAUAUGGGUGAAAAUGAAAAAUAUUUUAUGAAUUUCAAAUGUAUGCCCUGUCAUGCCAUUUUGUACAGAAUGUUGCCUAAACUGUGUGGGACAUACAGUUUCAGUGCCAAGAUCUGUAGUAAUAUUUUGGCUUCUAAUGCCUAAAUUCCCAUUUACUGAAGCAGGACCUGGGUCCUAAGAAACAAACCCAAGACAAUAUUUACUUUCACUUAAA